GACGUAGGGUGCAAGCGUUGUCCGGAAUUAUUGGGCGUAAAGCGUUCGUAGGCGGUUUGCCAAGUCUGAUGUUAAAUCCUGGAGCUCAACUCCAGUCCAGCAUCGGAAACUGGCAGGCUGGAAUAUGGUAGAGGCAAGGAGAAUUCCCGGUGUAGCGGUGAAAUGCGUAGAUAUCGGGAGGAAUACCAGUGGCGAAAGCGCCUUGCUGGGCCAUUAUUGACGCUGAGGAACGAAAGCUAGGGUAGCGAAAGGG
rnacentral:rRNA from 1 species